rnacentral:rRNA from 1 species
AGAGUUUGAUCAUGGCUCAGAUUGAACGCUGGCGGCAGGCCUAACACAUGCAAGUCGAGCGGAUGAGGGGUGCUUGCACCCCGAUUCAGCGGCGGACGGGUGAGUAAUGCCUAGGAAUCUGCCCGAUAGUGGGGGACAACGUUUCGAAAGGAACGCUAAUACCGCAUACGUCCUACGGGAGAAAGUGGGGGCUCUUCGGACCUCACGCUAUCGGAUGAGCCUAGGUCGGAUUAGCUAGUUGGUGGGGUAAAGGCCCACCAAGGCGACGAUCCGUAACUGGUCUGAGAGGAUGAUCAGUCACACUGGAACUGAGACACGGUCCAGACUCCUACGGGAGGCAGCAGUGGGGAAUAUUGGACAAUGGGCGAAAGCCUGAUCCAGCCAUGCCGCGUGUGUGAAGAAGGUCUUCGGAUUGUAAAGCACUUUAAGUCGGGAGGAAGGGCUGUAGGUUAAUACCCUGCGGUUUUGACGUUACCGACAGAAUAAGCACCGGCUAACUUCGUGCCAGCAGCCGCGGUAAUACGAAGGGUGCAAGCGUUAAUCGGAAUUACUGGGCGUAAAGCGCGCGUAGGUGGUUUGGUAAGUUGGAUGUGAAAGCCCCGGGCUCAACCUGGGAACUGCAUCCAAAACUGCCUGACUAGAGUACGGUAGAGGGUGGUGGAAUUUCCUGUGUAGCGGUGAAAUGCGUAGAUAUAGGAAGGAACACCAGUGGCGAAGGCGACCACCUGGACUGAUACUGACACUGAGGUGCGAAAGCGUGGGGAGCAAACAGGAUUAGAUACUCUGGUAGUCCACGCCGUAAACGAUGUCGACUAGCCGUUGGGCUCCUUGAGAGCUUAGUGGCGCAGCUAACGCAUUAAGUCGACCGCCUGGGGAGUACGGCCGCAAGGUUAAAACUCAAAUGAAUUGACGG